UCAAGCGUCUUGAAGAGCAUUUGGUGGAUGCCUUGGUACAGAGAGGCGAUGAAGGACGUGACACGCUGCGAUAAGCUGUGGGGAGCCGUGAGUAGGCUUUGAUCCGCAGAUUUCCGAAUGGGGAAACCCAAACCAUUUUGGUUUAUCCCGCAAGGGAGGCGAACCCAGCGAACUGAAAUAUCUAAGUAGCUGGAGGAAAGGACAUCAACCGAGACUCCGUUAGUAGUGACGAGCGAACGCGGACCAGGCCAGUGGCCAAUUUGAAAACAACCAGAAUGACCUGGAAAGGUCAGCCAUAGUGGGUGAUAGCCCCGUAUGGGUAAUGUUUCAUUUUGGUCCUUGAGUAGGGCGGGACACGAGAAAUCCUGCUUGAACAUGGGGGGACCACCCUCCAAGCCUAAGUACUACUCUGUGACCGAUAGUGAACAAGUACCGUGAGGGAAAGGUGAAAAGAACCCCUAUGAGGGGAGUGAAACAGACCUGAAACCGAAUGCUUACAAACAGUAGGAGCUACAUUAAGUAGUGACUGCGUACCUUUUGUAUAAUGGGUCAGCGAGUUAAUUUAUUGAGCAAGCUUAAGCCGUUAGGUGUAGGCGAAGCGAAAGCGAGUCUGAAUAGGGCGUCCAGUUCAAUGAAUUAGACCCGAAACCGGGUGAUCUAGCCAUGGGCAGGUUGAAGGUGCGGUAACACGCACUGGAGGACCGAACCCACCGAUGUUGAAAAAUCGGGGGAUGACCUGUGGCUAGGGGUGAAAGGCCAAUCAAACCCGGAUAUAGCUGGUUCUCCGCGAAAACUAUUUAGGUAGUGCGUCGUGUAUUACUGCGGGGGGUAGAGCACUGGAUGGGCUAGGGGGGCGCGAGCCUUACCAAACCUAACCAAACUCCGAAUACCCGUAAGUACAGCACGGCAGACAGUCCAUGGGUGCUAAGGUCCAUGGACGAGAGGGAAACAGCCCAGACCAACAGCUAAGGUCCCCAAAUUAUGGCUAAGUGGGAAAGGAUGUGGGAAGGCCAUGACAGCCAGGAGGUUGGCUUAGAAGCAGCCAUCCUUUAAAGAAAGCGUAACAGCUCACUGGUCUAGAUAAGCCGGCCUGCGCCGAAGAUGUACCGGGGCUAAAGCCAUAUACCGAAGCUUUGGACGCAUUUAUAUGCGUGGUAGCGGAGCGUUCCGUAAGUCUGUGAAGGUGUAACGUGAGUUAUGCUGGAGAUAUCGGAAGUGAGAAUGCUGACAUGAGUAGCGAUAAAAAGUGUGAGAAACACUUUCGCCGAAAGCCCAAGGGUUCCUGCGCAAGGUUAAUCCACGCAGGGUUAGUCGGCCCCUAAGACGAGGGCGAAAGCCGUAGUCGAUGGGAACACGGUUAAUAUUCCGUGACCUGAUGGUAGUGACGAAUAUCGUAAGUUGUACAUGCUUAUCGGAUUGUGUGUGCAGCGAAGAUGUUCCAGGAAAUAGCUCCAUCAUUAAGACCGUACCCGAAACCGACACAGGUGGGCAGGUAGAGAAUACCGAGGCGCUUGGGAGAAUGGUGCUGAAGGAACUCGGCAAAUUGCCUCCGUAACUUCGGGAGAAGGAGGACCUCUCUUUGGGCAACCAGAGAGAGGUGGCACAGACCAGGGGGUAGCGACUGUUUAUUUAAAACACAGGACUCUGCGAAGUAGUUGAUACGACGUAUAGGGUCUGACGCCUGCCCGGUGCCGGAAGGUUAAGAGGAGUGGUGAGAGCUGCGAAUCGAAGCCCCGGUAAACGGCGGCCGUAACUAUAACGGUCCUAAGGUAGCGAAAUUCCUUGUCGGGUAA
rnacentral:rRNA from 1 species